AUGGCAUCAUCUUCUUGGAAAAAAUGGCCCAAUCAUGAGCGGGAUAAAUGGCGUGAUGAUUUGAGAGAUAUAGAUUUUUGGUUUAAUGGAUACCGUGAGACUCCUGCAUAUAAUCGCUUGGCCGUCAUUGGUCAUUGUGUGCAUUGGAAUGUUGGGGUGGGGCCCAUGGUUUCAUUCACACGGGCUAUAUCAGGCAUGGCCAUGGAGACAAUCUCUAACAACCUAGGAGAAUUCAAACCCGUGAUAAAGGUGGAUCUGAAGCCUACACCAACGGCAGAGGAAGCCCAAGGAAGAGGCAUCAUGAGCACCAAGUACCAGCUGGCCCUCGCUGCAGCAAAGGAGCUCGGCCUGCUCGACCAAUAUUACAACGUGCUCAAAGAAAGGCAAGACGAGCUACUGUACUACACCUACGGGUCCUAUGAUGGUGGCACCUCUUCAAGUUUGGAGUCCCACAUGCGGCAAGAUAUAGUUCCGCAGAUCAUCAAACAAUUGAUAACUGCGAAGUACUUGCUAGUGGCUGAGAACCUCCAGUGGCCAAUUGAGCCUGGCAGUUUUACACUAGAAGAUGCCGGGCUUCGUCCACCUUUGUGGGGAAAUUCUCGAUGGAUCAUCUCGACCACUUCUCAUGAUGCCUACAAAAAGAGCAAGUCAAAAAACGAUGGAGUUAUAUCCAUUGACAAAGAUGACCAGGUUGUCGUGCUUAUCCUCUAUGCACUGCAUCAAUCGGCCGAGCAUAUACUCAGGAUGAUCCGUCAAGAAAGCAAGGAGUACUGGCAUCGCAUAGCCCUCAUGUGCUUCCACUACGCCAUGGCAAUCUUUGCCAAACAUUCACAAGUGGCAGCUAUCACCUCAGAUGAGCUCAUCAACCAUUGGGCUGCUCAGGGCAUCUUGCCAUGUAUGGCAAUCAAGGAAGAAGAAGAAACCAACACCAUCAGCAGCAAGUGUUCAAAUGUGCAUCGAGUUGGAAGGGUCAUCCUUGAGGCGUUCCAGAAAUACUCUUUAUUGCAGCUACCUUUUUCUCUUGCUAAUGAAGCUUAUGAAGCCACCAGUACGGGCGCACAGUUCUUAGUAUACCAUGGCCUCGUUGCAGAAGGCAUCACAGUUGAUGAACUCUUUGAUAACAAAAAGAAGUGGAUUUCCUUCAAUGGUGACAAUGGAUGUCAUGUAAGCCGAGAAUGGUUGUGCCCAGAGGAAACCAGUGGCUCGGCUGCACUUAUCUUAAGAGGCUGCUCACAUCAAUCACUCAUACUAUCCAAGCUGAACAGUUUCUUGCCCAAACUUUGUUUUCUUCGUGUUCUUGAUAUCUCCUACACUCCAAUAAAAGCACUCCCUUAUUCCAUCGGUUUCCUAACAAACCUUCGGCUGCUUUGCCUUAGAGGUUGCCAUGGUCUAAAAACUCUUUCUUGUUCAUCCACAACUAGUGCCACAUACUCAUCAACAAAUAUUUCUUCAUAUUCACCAUUGUCAACCUUAUACUUGCUUGAAAUUCUUGAUAUGAAUGGAGUUCCUUGUUCUCAUCUGACACAAGAUAUGGCCAACCAAAAGAUCAAUCUAAUUUAUCUCGACAUGUCCUAUUCAGAAAUAACUACUUUCCCUCCCACUUUUUUUGAGGACAUGUCAAAUCUGGAGGAACUUAUUCUUGUCAGCUGCGCUAACCUUGUGGACCUACCUCCUUCCAUGGCUGCACUAUCCAGCCUAACGACCCUUGAGGUCACAGGGACUCGAAUAAAAUACUUCCCGUUGAGGAUAUUUGAAGAAAUGCGGAAGCUACAAUCACUCAAGCUCAUUGACAACAAGGACUUGAUUUCACUCACAGGACCAAUCUCUAGGUUACAGGGAAUUACAUUGGAAGGGCAUCCUAGGCUUAUAUCCUUCGUGCUUAUCGGUGCACCUCACAUAAAGCGCUUGUCUUUGCGUGGUUGUAGAAACCUGGAGUCUGUUGAGAUCAUGAAUCUUUGUGCUUUGGAGGAGCUUGAUUUGUCUGGUACUGCUAUCAAAGAUCUCCCUGCUGACGUCCCUAAUUUUCCCCAACUUAGGCGAUUGCUCUUACUGGGUGUUCCUUCUCUGAGGCGAUUUCCUUGGCAUAGGCUGGUCCGACUGCCGGAAGUGUUUUACUUGGAUCAUUGCUCAGAAGAAAAUGGCAAUCACUGUAAUCAAGUUUCCCAAGUGUGUGUUACUGACCCCAGGUUCUUCCAUAGCUUCAACAACACUCUAGAGAAUUUAGUAAGAGAUGGAAGAUUUUUCCAAUCGUUCUAUGUUCGAGUGGCACCAUGCAUUACAAAUAGCAUGCGAGUGCAAGAUGAAGAAGCCAUGCUCGAUAGCAAGUUGCAGGAGUUGUCACGGAAGCGACCAACAUAUGAGGAUGUAUAUAACAGCUGUUAUGUAGAGAAAAUUGCAACUACAUCGCCGAUUACACUUCCCCUUCAACAAACUGUGCGCCAUAUGGAGAUCACAGGGAUGCAGCAGACACAUCGUGGUUUACCCAAUCUUCUAAAUGUCACCAAAUCAAUAUCAGUAACAUUUGAUUCUUCGAUUAGGAUUUUUCAUUCCUUGAGCGACUUCAUCGAGCUAGAAGAAUGUGAGCUUCGUUGGUGCCAUAAAAUGGAAGGAAUUGUAUAUCACAUUCUAGGCUGGAAAAAACUACGCAAUAUGCAUGUCUGUAAUCUCAAAAGGCUAGUUUCGUUCUGUUCAGAGUAUAGUUAUUCUGACUUCGGUAGACUAGAGCACCUGCACUUAGAGGACUGCCCAAGAUUGGAGCACGUGGUGCCACAUACAGCAACGCUGCCAUGCCUCAAGACACUUGACAUAUUAUUCUGCUACAAACUCAAGACAAUUUUCAUCACCUAUCGCUCGCAAGGUAAUACUUAUCAGCUCCCAAGCCUCCAAAGGAUACGUCUCCAGGAGCUGCCACUGCUCCAGCACUUCCAUGACAAUGACGCCACCACCAUAGCACCUGUGUGGAAGGAGCUCCACAUCCGAGGGUGUUGGAGCCUCCGAUGCCUCCCGCGCCUACAAGGACGCCAGCCAGAGACAGUGAAGGUGAACGGCGAGAGGAGCUGGUGGAGCAAGCUCCAGUGGGGCUCACCCCUGCACCGCAACAGCUAUGACCCCAAGCUUCCUCCGCAGGUCGCCUCCUUCGAUGAGCGCGCCGAGAUGAGCAGCUACCUCAGAUGA
rnacentral:rRNA from 1 species